CAGGAUGAACGCUAGCUACAGGCUUAACACAUGCAAGUCGAGGGGAAACGAUAGAGAAAGCUUGCUUUUUCUAGGCGUCGACCGGCGCACGGGUGAGUAACGCGUAUCCAACCUGCCUAUCACUUGGGGAUAACUUUGCGAAAGUAAGACUAAUACCCAAUGACGUCUCUAGAAGACAUCUGAAGGAGAUUAAAGAUUUAUCGGUGAUGGAUGGGGAUGCGUCUGAUUAGCUUGUUGGCGGGGUAACGGCCCACCAAGGCGACGAUCAGUAGGGGUUCUGAGAGGAAGGUCCCCCACAUUGGAACUGAGACACGGUCCAAACUCCUACGGGAGGCAGCAGUGAGGAAUAUUGGUCAAUGGACGAGAGUCUGAACCAGCCAAGUAGCGUGCAGGAUGACGGCCCUAUGGGUUGUAAACUGCUUUUAUAAGGGAAUAAAGUGAGUCUCGUGAGACUUUUUGCAUGUACCUUAUGAAUAAGGACCGGCUAAUUCCGUGCCAGCAGCCGCGGUAAUACGGAAGGUCCGGGCGUUAUCCGGAUUUAUUGGGUUUAAAGGGAGCGUAGGCCGGAGAUUAAGCGUGUUGUGAAAUGUAGACGCUCAACGUCUGCACUGCAGCGCGAACUGGUUUCCUUGAGUACGCACAAAGUGGGCGGAAUUCGUGGUGUAGCGGUGAAAUGCUUAGAUAUCACGAAGAACUCCGAUUGCGAAGGCAGCUCACUGGAGCGCAACUGACGCUGAAGCUCGAAAGUGCGGGUAUCGAACAGGAUUAGAUACCCUGGUAGUCCGCACGGUAAACGAUGGAUGCCCGCUGUUGGUCUGAAUAGGUCAGCGGCCAAGCGAAAGCAUUAAGCAUCCCACCUGGGGAGUACGCCGGCAACGGUGAAACUCAAAGGAAUUGACGGAAGGGC
rnacentral:rRNA from 1 species